CAAUAGCGUAUAUUUAAGUUGUUGCAGUUAAAAAGCUCGUAGUUGGAUUUUGGGUCGGGGGCACCGGUCCGCCGUUCCGGUGUGCACUGGUGGCCCCUUCCUUUCUGCCGGGGACGUGCGUCGCACUUAAUUGGGUGGCGUUCGGAGUCGGCGUUGUUACUUUGAAAAAAUUAGAGUGUUCAAAGCAAGCCAUCGCUCUGAAUACAUUAGCAUGGAAUAACAUGAUAGGACUCUGGUCUUAUUUUGUUGGUUUCCGAGACUGGAGUAAUGAUUAAGAGGGACAGUCGGGGGCAUCCGUAUUUCAUUGUCAGAGGUGAAAUUCUUGGAUUUAUGAAAGACGAACUUCUGCGAAAGCAUUUGCCAAGGAUGUUUNCAUUA
rnacentral:rRNA from 1 species